AAUUUUGGACAAUGGGGGAAACCCUGAUCCAGCCAUCCCGCGUGUAUGAUGAAGGCCUUCGGUUUGUAAAGUACUUUUGGCAGUGAAGAAAAGGCAUCCCCUAAUACGGGAUGCUGCUGACGGUAUCUGCAGCAUAAGCACCGGCUAAUUACGUGCCAGCAGCCGCGGUAAUACGUAGGGUGCAAGCGUUAAUCGGAAUUACUGGGCGUAACGCGUGCGCAGGCGGUUCGGAAAGAAGGAUGUGAAGACCCAGGGCUCAACCUUGGAACUGCAUUCUUAACUACCGAACUAGAGUAUGUCAGAGGGGGGUAGAAUUCCGCGUGUAGCAGUGAAAUGCGUAGAUAUGCGGAGGAAUACCGAUGGCGGAGGCAGCCCCCUGGGAUAAUACUGACGCUCAUGCACGAAAGCGUGGGUAGCAAACAGG
rnacentral:rRNA from 1 species